AUUGAACGCUGGCGGCAUGCCUUACACAUGCAAGUCGAACGGCAGCACGGGAGCAAUCCUGGUGGCGAGUGGCGAACGGGUGAGUAAUAUAUCGGAACGUCGCCCGGUCGGUGGGGGAUAACGUAGCGAAAGCUACGCUAAUACCGCAUACGAUCUACGGAUGAAAGCGGGGGAUCGCAAGACCUCGCGCGAUUGGAGCGGCCGAUAUCAGAUUAGGUAGUUGGUGAGGUAAAGGCUCACCAAGCCGACGAUCUGUAGCUGGUCUGAGAGGACGACCAGCCACACUGGGACUGAGACACGGCCAGACUCCUACGGGAGGCAGCAG
rnacentral:rRNA from 1 species